rnacentral:lncRNA from 1 species
UAUGGCUUGGCCUUUGUCUCCAGCUAGUUAGUUCCCUGUUCUUCUUCUUUGUCCUCCCCUGUGAUUGGCUUUAUUUCAGGGGAUGUCUCGAGACAAGUGACUGUCACCCUAUUCUAAUGAUGAGUGAAUUCUUAUCUUCAGGUGUGGAGCUCAUCUUACUUAUCCAUCCCUUCAACAUCAAACAUCCUCCAAAUGAACACACACACACACACACACACACACACACACUCACUCACUCACUCACUGAAUGGCAGAGGUGAACCUGGAAUCUACUCUCAGUAGUGUCAGAUUAAGGAUUUUCCCAAAGUGUUUGUCCUCCUAUGUCUGUUCCCCAAAUGCAAAAAUCAAAAUGAAAGAGGAAGAAGGGGUAAAUGAAACAAACCUAAUCAGAACACACUGACAGAUCUUUUUCUUUCCUUUUUGCCUCUUCCUCCCACUCAGCACCCUCUGCUUUAGCUCAUUCCUCUGUCACUACUCUUGCUGAUUGAUCAGCCCAAGUGAAAGUGUGAAUCACCUAUGAAACAUAACAGAGUCAAGUCACAAAUAAAAAUAACUAGCCACAUUGGUGGUCCAGUAAAAAUAUGGCUUCAAUACCAUGGCUCCCAUACCACCUCUCCUCAAUCUUUGAGAGGCCACUACAGCUGCAGAUUGGGGCCUGCUGUGUCUUGGCUGCCAGCCUGGUACUGUAUAGUUGCCUUUUCGACCUUCCACCUUCCCCAGCUUUGCUGUUUCUUGGAGCAGGGUCACUGUGACAUCACCCCAUGGCUCUCUGUGAAGUCAUUUAUGACUGAGAGCAGUGAUUGUUCCACUGAAAGCCCAGUUGAAGCUAAUUCCUCUGCAAUGUCCAGUCCUUUCUAUCCUGGGCUGGUGCAGGACUGGAAGAGCAUGGCUGGAAUGGAGGGAUCAGCAACUGCUGUAGUGGCUGAGAAACUCUUGAAAGCAAUCCCUCUUCUGCUAAGGCCACAAUGACUCCAAGAUGGUGGAUUGGGCCAUGAGGUAGAGAUCAAAGGAUCACUGAAGGAGGUACUAAAAGCAAUGAAUGGAUACCAUUGGAGAUUGAGAGAUGCCAGCUUCCUGUUCAACCAACAACGAAGAGCCACGGAACCCCACUGACAGCAUGGGGACCAACGAAGUUUCACUCACACAACAUCUCUGGGAGAGCCAACGGGAGCUUAUGCAAAUAAAAAGAUGUGCUAAAACCCCAUCCAUGUAAGUGGAUCACCCUCAGUACCUGAACUUUUCAGUGCCUGGACAGGCAGCCAUGUGCUGAGACCUCCUGGGCAAGGAGUGGGAUGAAAGAUACCUGACUUGGAGUGAGUUGCCGUCUCUGUGUUCUAUAUGCUACAUCUCAAUGAAAGUGGUAGCAUCAUCUGUUAUUUAUGUAAUUUUUGUCUGUCUCCCCUCUAGACUAUAAGCUCAUUGUGGGCAGGGAAUGUAUCUACCAAUUCUGCUAUAUUGUACUCUCCCAAGUGCUUACUACAGUG